UACGUAGGGUGCAGGCGUUAAUCGGAAUUACUGGGCGUAAAGCGUGCGCAGGCGGUUUCUUAAGUCAGAUGUGAAAGCCCCGGGCUUAACCUGGGAACUGCGUUUGAAACUGGGAGACUUGAGUGUGGCAGAGGGGGGUGGAAUUCCACGUGUAGCAGUGAAAUGCGUAGAUAUGUGGAGGAACACCGAUGGCGAAGGCAGGUCUCUGGGCAUUAACUGACGCUGAGGAGCGAAAGCAUGGGGAGCGAACAGG
rnacentral:rRNA from 1 species